GGAGGGUGACUGAAGCCUGCUCGGUAUGAGCAACUACGUAACUGCGAACAACAUCGUUCGUUUCUCCCGUCAGACAGCCCCUGUUGCUGCCUGACCCUUAGGGGAGAUGGGGUGAGGUCAGCCUUAUCACCCAAAUGACUCAUGGGGCCUGGAAGGGCCC
rnacentral:tmRNA from 1 species